CAAGUAGACCGGGUGGCCGCUCCUGUGAAGGAGAGGAAAGUCCGAGCUCCCCCAGGCAGGACACUGGGUAACGCCCAGAAGGGGCAACCCUAUGGAAAGUGCCACAGAAACAUACCGCCCCGCCGCAAGGCAGGGUAAGGGUGAAAUGGUGAGGUAAGAGCUCACCGGCGCGCCGGGUGACCGGCCGGCCGCGGCAAACCCUGUCCGGAGCAAGACCGAAUAGAGGGACAAAUGGGAAGCCUGGUCCCGUCCCCGGGUUGGUCGCAUGACCCUGCCAGUAAUGGCAGGGCUAGAUAGAUGGUCACCGUCCUUCUGCGGAAGGAUACAGAACUCGGCUUACAGGUUUACUUGACCG
rnacentral:RNase_P_RNA from 1 species